rnacentral:lncRNA from 1 species
CAUUAUGGUGGCGGGGGCCGUGCAAAGUGGGGUAGCAGCAGUGGGGGCCCCAAAACCCAGCCCGCGCUGCCCGGGGCGCCUGGGGACAACGGUGGGCGAGCAAUUCGGCACCGGGACCUUUUAUUGAUCCGGGUCGCGGCCCCGCUGCGCCUCCCCAGCCUGGCUUUUGAGGCCAGUCCCGGGGAUUUUGGGUGCACCGGGGCUGGGCGCGUGGGUGCCACGCGUCCCCAACCCCCAUCCCACCCCUUGUGGUCCCCAUCCCGGGCGGGCAUCGGGACCGGUAGCACCACCGCUCCUUGUCCCCAUGCGCCAGGGUCCCCAUCAGGCGGCGUGGAGCUUCUGGUGCCGGCGGAGCUGGGAUUUGUGGCGAAACCCCUCGCCGCAGUCGGGGCAGCCGUGGGGCUUCUCGCCGGUGUGGGUGCGCCGGUGGCGGAUGAGGUUGGAGGAGACGCUGAAGCGCUUGCCGCACUCCCCGCAGCGGUAGGGCUUCUCCCUGGUGUGCGUGCGCUGGUGCUGGACGAGCGCCGAGCUCUCGCUGAAGCGCUUGCCGCAGGCGCCGCAGCCGUAGGGCUUCUCGCCGGUGUGGAUGCGCCGGUGGGUGGCCAGGUUGGAGUUCUGGCUGAAGCCCUUCCCGCAGGCCCCGCAGGUGUAGGGCUUCUCGCCGGUGUGCGUGACCUGGUGCCGCGCCAGGUCCGAGCUGCGGCUGAAGCCCUUGCCGCACUCGCCGCAGAUGGUGGGGCGCAGGCGGCCCCCCCGCAGCCCCAGCAGCUCCUCCAGCGGUCCCAGGCCCCGCGGGCCCCCCGACGCCUUGCCCCGGGGCCCGGCGGGUGCCUUCCGCCGCCGCCUCGCCGCCGGGCACCCGGGGGUCUCGCUGCCGGGGCAGGCUGCAGGGAGAGCGGAGCUGGGCACCGGCGGGGGCGCGGGGCAGGCCAGGGGCCGCGACCCCUCUGCCCCUUCCCCAUCCCUUUUGCACCUCCUGCAGCCCUUCUCCGUCCGCUCCAGCCCUCUCCCACCUUCUCCAUCCCCUCCUCCCCUUCUCUGUCCCUCUGCCACCUCCUCCAUCUCCCCUACCUCUUUCCCAGCCCCUGUCCCUACCCCGGACCUUAUCUGCCCCAUCCCUUUCCCACCUCCUCCACCCCCUUGUCC